rnacentral:rRNA from 1 species
CAGUAGCCGGGUAAUACGAAGGGUGCAAGCGUUACUCGGAAUUACUGGGCGUAAAGCGUGCGUAGGUGGUGGUUUAAGUCCGUUGUGAAAGCCCUGGGCUCAACCUGGGAAUUGCAGUGGAUACUGGGUCACUAGAGUGUGGUAGAGGAUAGUGGAAUUUCCGGUGUAGCAGUGAAAUGCGUAGAGAUCGGAAGGAACAUCUGUGGCGAAGGCGACUCUCUGGUCUGUAACUGACGCUGAGGAGCGAAAGCGUGGGGAGCGAACAGGAUUAGAUACCCCCGUAGUCCCUGUCUCUUAUACA